rnacentral:rRNA from 1 species
UACGGAGGGUGCGAGCGUUGUCCGGAAUCACUGGGCGUAAAGGGCGCGUAGGCGGCCUGAUAAGUAGGGGGGUGAAAUCCUGCGGCUUAACCGCAGGGCUGCCUUCUAAACUGUCGGGCUCGAGCACAGUAGAGGCAGGUGGAAUUCCCGGUGUAGCGGUGGAAUGCGUAGAGAUCGGGAAGAACAUCAGUGGCGAAGGCGGCCUGCUGGGCUGUUGCUGACGCUGAGGCGCGACAGCGUGGGGAGCAAACAGG